rnacentral:sRNA from 1 species
GUGGGGUAUAGUGGUGCACACCUGUAAUCCCAGCUGCUUGGGAGGCUGAGGCAGGAGGAUUGAAGGUUUGAGGCCCACCUCAGCAACUUAGCAAGACCCUGUCUCAC